AUGUUUUCUGUUGGUAACGGGAGCAGAGUGAGUUUGUUCAUUUUGUGUUUUGAUUUCUGUUCAUUUGAUUUCUGUCGUUACAUUUUCAUUUGUGCACCACUCGUCUCCCUUCCUGGGAGCCCCGGGAGAGGGAGCAGAAUCCCGAGGCCAGAGUCGCAUCCUGGAUGGGGACUUCAUGGGGCGGGACUGACUGCCGGUCCCCCAAGCCCUCUGUGUCCCCAGUGGCUCCCGCGUCCCUCAGCAGAGCGGGGCAGGAGGUGUCCAUGGCGGCUCCUGGGGCCCGAGCUGAGAAGGCUGUCAGGGGCUCUGCUGUCCUGUCUGCGGUGGCUCUACAAGGUUCAAGACCAAAGAAUCCCAGAAACUCGAUCUGCACCAGCAAGAAGACUUCCUGUGGAAGGACCUCUUGGUGGUUUCAAAUGUCCCUUGUACUCGCAGCCCCAAGGACAGGACCCCGUGGCUUCUCUGGCUGCCCCCAGGUCACCACGAUCGUCCACCGGGAGAUGGACUCCGAGACACCCAGCUUCGGAAUCCUCGCCCUUCCAGAAAAGGGGUUGAAUGUCCCCUAUCCUCGGUGCCACAAGGAGAGGACCACUUGCCUCUCUAGCUGCCCUCAGGUCACCACAAUCAUCCUCAGGAAGAUGGAUUCCAAUUCGCCCAGCUUCAGAACCCUCGCCCUUCCAGAAGAGGUGUUGAAUGUCCCUCGUCCUCGCUGCCCCAAGGACAGGACCCCGUGGCUUCUCUGGCUGCCCCCAGGUCACCACGAUCGUCCAUCCCCAGGAGAUGUAAUCGGAGAUGCCCAGCUUCAGAAUCCUCGCCCUUCCAGAAGAGGUGUUGAUGUCCCUCGUCCUCGCUGCCCCAAGGACAGGACCCCGUGGCUGCUCCGUCCCGGGGAGCAGCUGCUGCCUGGGAAGAACUUCGUUGCCUCUGUUGGUGCCCAGGGAUUGCCCUGCUCUACUGCCUCUGUGCCUGCAAUGAACAGAUUCAUGAGUUUAACAGAAACCAGUUAGGUGAAUAAAUUGUGGAUGGAAAAGCA
rnacentral:lncRNA from 1 species